CGGAGGCUGCCUGGUUCGUUAGAAAGUUCAUCUCCUGGGCCGAUAAUUUCUUCCAAGGGAGCUGGCGCUGACGUAAUCGUGGUUUCGUUAUUCUGGCACCCACCUGUAUUUGCAGGUCCGGAAGAGCUGACAGUUCGACGGCUAUGGCGGCUUCUUU
rnacentral:other from 2 species